rnacentral:rRNA from 1 species
GACAGAGGGUGCGAACGUUGUUCGGAAUUACUGGGCGUAAAGCGCGUGUAGGCGGCAGCGCAAGUCGGGCGUGAAAUCCCACGGCUCAACCGUGGAAGUGCACUCGAAACUGCGCAGCUAGAGUCCUGGAGAGGAAGGUGGAAUGCUUGGUGUAGAGGUGAAAUUCGUAGAUAUCAAGCGGAACACCGGUGGCGAAGGCGGCCUUCUGGACAGGUACUGACGCUGAGACGCGAAAGCGUGGGGAGCAAACAGG